rnacentral:rRNA from 1 species
CGCUGGCGGCGUGCCUAACACAUGCAAGUCGAACGGAGUUCCUGCGAUUGAAGCUUCGGCAGAUUUCGCUUGAACUUAGUGGCGGACGGGUGAGUAACGCGUGAGGAACCUGCCUUUCAGAGGGGGACAACAGUUGGAAACGACUGCUAAUACCGCAUAAUGCGCAGAGAUCGCAUGAUUUUUGCGCCAAAGAUUUUAUCGCUGAAAGAUGGCCUCGCGUCUGAUUAGAUAGUUGGUGAGGUAACGGCCCACCAAGUCUGCGAUCAGUAGCCGGACUGAGAGGUUGAACGGCCACAUUGGGACUGAGACACGGCCCAGACUCCUACGGGAGGCAGCAGUGGGGAAUAUUGGACAAUGGGGGAAACCCUGAUCCAGCGACGCCGCGUGAGUGAAGAAGUAUUUCGGUAUGUAAAGCUCUAUCAGCAGGGAAGAAAAUGACGGUACCUGACUAAGAAGCUCCGGCUAAAUACGUG